rnacentral:rRNA from 1 species
GACGAACGCUGGCGGCGUGCUUAACACAUGCAAGUCGAGCGGUAAGGCCCCUUCGGGGUACGACGAGCGGCGAACGGGUGAGUAACACGUGGGUAACCUGCCCUCAGCUCUGGGAUAAGCCUGGGAAACUGGGUCUAAUACCGGAUAUGACUCCAUGACGCAUGUCGUGGGGUGGAAAGCCUUGUGCGGCUGGGGAUGGGCCCGCGGCCUAUCAGCUUGUUGGUGGGGUGANGGCCUACCAAGGCGACGACGGGUAGCCGGCCUGAGAGGGCGACCGGCCACACUGGGACUGAGACACGGCCCAGACUCCUACGGGAGGCAGCAGUGGGGAAUCUUGCGCAAUGGGCGAAAGCCUGACGCAGCGACGCCGCGUGA